UACAGAGGUCCCGAGCGUUGUUCGGAUUCACUGGGCGUAAAGGGUGCGUAGGUGGUUGGGUAAGUUUGAUGUGAAAGCUCAGGGCUUAACCCUGAAAUGGCAUUGAAUACUACUUAACUGGAGGUUUGGAGGGGGGACUGGAAUUCUUGGUGUAGCAGUGAAAUGCGUAGAUAUCAAGAGGAACACCAGUGGCGAAGGCGACUACCUGGCCUGUUCUUGACGCUGAGGCGCGAAAGCUAGGGGAGCAAACGGG
rnacentral:rRNA from 1 species